UAUCUGCCAUUGAUGUGGAAUCAGGUAAAUUGUACCUAGCAUAUUAGAAAUUUUAUAUUGUAUAUGGCACAUGGCUUAUAUCAACAUAUUAUAGUUGCAUAAUAAUAUACUAUCAGCAAUAUUGCUGUAAAUAUUGAAAAUUCUGUAUACACAUACCUGUAUGGAUAUAUAUAUCAUAAACUGCAAACUGAACAUCACUGCUGUUCAUUUUUCAAAAUUUCCACAGAAUUCAAGCCUCCUAAUGAGAA
rnacentral:misc_RNA from 1 species